CUGGGAGGACCAUCUCCUAAGGCUAAAUACUCUCUAGUGACCGAUAGUGAACCAGUACCGUGAGGGAAAGGUGAAAAGCACCCCGGAAGGGGAGUGAAAUAGAACCUGAAACCGUGUGCUUACAAGUAGUCAGAGCCCGUUAAUGGGUGAUGGCGUGCCUUUUGUAGAAUGAACCGGCGAGUUACGAUUUGAUGCAAGGUUAAGCAGUAAAUGUGGAGCCGUAGCGAAAGCGAGUCUGAAUAGGGCGUUUAGUAUUUGGUCGUAGACCCGAAACCAGGUGAUCUACCCUUGGUCAGGUUGAAGUUCAGGUAACACUGAAUGGAGGACCGAACCGACUUACGUUGAAAAGUGAGCGGAUGAACUGAGGGUAGCGGAGAAAUUCCAAUCGAACCUGGAGAUAGCUGGUUCUCUCCGAAAUAGCUUUAGGGCUAGCCUCAAGUGAUGAUUAUUGGAGGUAGAGCACUGUUUGGACGAGGGGCCCCUCUCGGGUUACCGAAUUCAGACAAACUCCGAAUGCCAAUUAAUUUAACUUGGGAGUCAGAACAUGGGUGAUAAGGUCCGUGUUCGAAAGGGAAACAGCCCAGACCACCAGCUAAGGUCCCAAAAUAUAUGUUAAGUGGAAAAGGAUGUGGCGUUGCCCAGACAACUAGGAUGUUGGCUUAGAAGCAGCCAUCAUUUAAAGAGUGCGUAAUAGCUCACUAGUCGAGUGACACUGCGC
rnacentral:rRNA from 1 species